AGCCCAAGCGGUAGAAUACGCCAAAGUGCAAAUUUGGAGACGCACCCCUCAAAGGUGCCGGGGCUUCUCCCGUCUUAGGUCAAACGGGAGAAGC
rnacentral:tRNA from 1 species